AGCCCUUAAACACACACCGAAACUCUUCUUCUGUCCUGGAAUGCCUUUCCCGCCCCCUCUGACCUUUUUAUCGGUUCUCAGACGUGGAUCUGCCGAACUCUAAUCAACACGUUUAUCACGUCUCCACACUGCUUCACUCGCUUUGUUUUUCCCUUCCUAUUCCUUCCUUCUUUCUGUGCUAGAAUUUCCACCGGCUUCUGUAUAGUAGUGGUGCCACUCACCCUAAAACCCCACCCCAUCCAGCACUCCAAUUGGUCAGUUUCAUACCACAGUACAAGUGGACCAGUGAGAAACCUUUUCAAGCUGCUGUCACAGUGAAGCGGGUGUUUGACGCCGCGGUUUCAUCAAACCACGGUGCUUCCUGAAACAUACAAUCUUGAGAUUCUAGUAGCUGUGUGUCAUACGAACCAGUAAUAACACUGGCGCAGAGACGGUCAAAAGUGUGUAUAUGUGUGCCGUGUGUGUUUGUGAGUUAAAUGGACGGUCAGAGUGCAUGUGUUCUUUUACAUGUGCUGGUAUCCAGGAUAUCCCUUCCUAUGUGGCGUGUGCAUGGGUGUUUAUUUUGAAUGGAAUACUUGACACGCUGUUACAGUGGAUCCCUGUUACACAAACACACGUAAUAAAGGUUGUGUUUCCAGGCUGUUGUUCCUGAGGGCAGGUGUGUCAACCGUGUUAUGACUCCUAGAGAAACAUUACGUCCCCCUCUGAUCAAACACUGUAUUGUUUAUAUUCUGUAUGUACAAAAGAAUCGCCUAGAGCAAAUGGAACGGAUGCCAAAAGAACAAGUACUCUAAAAGCAAAUAUUUUAUCUUGGUUCUCAUUAAAAGAGAAGAUAAAUCUAGUUUUGGACAUUUCGUUUUGUUCAAUGGUUUAUUUUUCCACAUUUAUCAUGAUUCAGAGGUCGAGAUUUAUAUUGUUGAUUUAUCAGAGCCGUGUUAUAUUAGAUGUUUAUUUAUCCCAGUGGCUGUGUGCUAGACAGGUGAAGACAUAUAUGUAUUCUGUGUGUGUGUGUGUGUGUGUGCGUGUGUGUAUGUGUGUGUGCUGUGAAAUAUUAAUGCAGCGUUUCACUUCAGCAUCAUUUAACCCCACAGAGCAGCCUGUCAAUCAAUAAGCCCCGCCUCUUCUGUAGGAUGACCUCACUCUGUUCCACUGCAGCAGGGACUCCCUCACAAACACAGUUCAAACGCUGAUGGCUGCAAUAUUAAACAGCCCACUCGUUAUGCACUCAUAUCUCAUUCCCCCCGCUGUGCAUUUUUCUUCCACCAUAUGGGCUUCCCCACCUCUCUCUCACACACACACAAACACACACACACAGCUUUGAGUCUUUCCCAGACCACUCUGGAGUUGUGCCAAAUGCGCAUACAGUAGUGCUCAGUGGAAACUCACCUGAUGAGACUGAUAAAGAAAAGCAAACAUAGUGGACACAAAGAAAAUUAAUUACCAUAAAUUAUGGGUUUGAGAGAUUGUUGUAAACAUGACAAACAUGGAUAGAUUUUACGAAGGUUUAAAAUAAAUAGUUAGGCCCAAAAAUGAAAAUCUACUCA
ensembl:lncRNA